UUACCUUAUUUAAGCUUCGUACCACUGCUAUCUCCCUUUUACAGAUGAAACAACCAAGGCUUCAGAUGUUGAGUAGCCCAAGGCCAUACAACUCUUAAAUAGUGGGGCUGGGAUUUGAAUCCAGAUCUGCUUUUCUCCAAAGCACCAAGCUGUGCUUGGUACCUCCUUAUGUAGUUCCUACAUCCCCAGUGUGAGACAACUGGGUUAUAUAAAGAAAUACUGGGUGCAGUGGGGUGCUUAAACAUCAACAUGGGCUUUUAAAUGUGGGCCGGAGAACUGGGCUAGUCUAGUCUGCCUUCUUUCCUUCCUUCAACAAAUGUUUAUGAGUGCAUGCUGUAUACCAAGGGCUUAUCUAGACAUUGAGAAAUCCUAGGAAGCAAAACAGACCACACUUACUAAGCUAUGUGACCUGAGCAAAUCACCAAAUGUGCUAGUUAUUAAGCAAUUGACUUUCACACCAACUUGCCUUCUGUAUGUGGCUUUGAGAUGGUGCAUCUAAGACUCUGCAAACCACAUUUCUCCUUUGCCGCUAGUCCCUGUGAAGCUCUGCCAGGGUGCUAGAUAGAGGGAGACUCAAGGAAGGAGAGGAAGAGGACACUCUUAUUUCUGUUGCCUUGCUAUCCCUGUCAGCUUCACCCUAGCAUCAGCAGUAGGUUCUGGCCUCCGGUUUUCUUCAGCACUCCCUGUCCAGUGUUGUCAUGUCAUCAUGCCCCCUCAAAUGUUUCAGCACCGGGAGGAGCAGCCACCCCUCCUCUCCAGUCUGAGCCCAGGCUCUGGGGUCCCCUCCUCUGAUCUCCUAGGUUUUCAUAGCCUAACCUUUUCCCCUUUGUUUCCCAGCCCUGGUGUGGUAGCUGCUUUCUACAGGGACUAUCUCUGUGUUACCACAAUGUUCACUGUUUUCCAGCCCUUCAAUAUCUAUAACGAGUGGUAUGCUUGUAAAUAUUUAACAACCAAUUCUCUAGAAAAACAAAAACCACAAAGAAACCAAUUUGUAAUGUGUGCCAAUUCCCAUAAUAUAAAUCAUUCACCAUGGAUAGUUUUAAAUUAUCAACAUGGCAUCCCUGAAUUUCACAAGCUGGUGUGAGCAGAUCCAGGAUACAAAUGCUGGCAACCAAUAUCCCCUAUAUUAAAAUGUCUGUGUUGAAGUACCUAGUUUCAUUUCUGUUUUCAGGACUGGGCCCUGAUUGAUAACACCUCAGCUUCUGAGCAUCUAUUUUUGGGCUCUGAAAUGGAAUUACUACCAUUUCUUCUAAUAGAGCUGUUUGGAUAAUAUGAAACAAUAUAAGUAAAACACUCUGAAAAUUACUUUUAAAAAUUUGAGACCAUAACAUAGUUUCUAGACGUUUCCACUGAAGGAAGUGAAGUCAGGAUGAUGAAAGUAGGCAAAGCAUUUUAAUGAUGGCUCACAGAGGUGUUCCAGGUGCUUUUAGAACCCAGGAUGACCUCAGAGCAUGGGUGGAGCCUGAUGACUCAGAAUCAGAGAGGCAGUCAUAUCAGUGACUGGAUUAUGAUGUCACAAGGCGUGUGUGUGGAUACUUUGUUCUUCAAGGAUUCUGAGACUGAAUAUUGUGCAAACCAAGAAAGCACAUAAACCCAAAGGGCAAACAAUUUAUGUAAUUCAACUAAUACCACAGAUGUGGGGCAGGGUUGAACUUUUACAUGAAAAUCUACUCAGUUGUACAAAGGAAAUAAAACUGUAGUUUUCCAUAACUGGCUAAACUUUUCCCUCAAGAUGUCAACCCACUGAGCACCUUGAGAAGGAAACAGUCUUUAAACUUGCAAAAUCACUAGGAUCUCCAUUUCUGCCAUUUAAGUAACCUCUUUGGAAUGACUUAGAGUGUGCGCCAAUGCUCAGUCUUCCCAAUCUCCUCUCCCUGCUCCUUUCCAGGGUCACAUUCUAGGGUAUGUGGGAGUGUAUAUGAUCUUAUGGCACAGGGAGGAGGCCUCAGAUUCACAUGUCCUCUGCCUUCUCCCUCUUCUCUUGCCUGAUCAUCUAGUUUUUUGUCUCUUCCUGACACAAAUACCGGAUUCUCAGACAUGUCUUUCUGAUGUAAAAGCAAAACAAAACAAAACAACACUACAUGCUGAGGCUUCUUAAUCCUGACCCCAGAUUUUGGCUAUCUGGUCAGGCCUCAACCCCUUCAUGUCAUCCAAAUAGGACACUUGGGAACUUUCAGGUACUCUGUACACUACACGUAGGCUAUAGGGACCCAGGGAUGCUGCCUCUGCUGCUUCUGCCUUCUUUGAGACUACCCGUCACUGCCCCUCACUGUUGGGUGUAGUGAAGCUAAAAGCUAGGCUCCUCCUAGAAGCCUGUGGACUCCCCAGACCAUGCCUGGGAAUGGAGCCACCACAUCCAGUUAACCUGGGCUCCCUGAUGCCCAGCUGGGUAUCUCUACACCUUCGUCUCCUUGAGGUUCAGCAAGGGAAGGCUGGCUAGAACCCUGGCAGUGGCAUCUAACCAACUCUGUCUUCUUCUGGAUCUGCCUAUGUUUUCCUUUCUCAUGCUUUUACCUCUUCAGAAUGAACAACCCUCACCAUAGCCUCCUUCCUCCUGGGGGCACCAGGCUUCCUGGCUAAAUGGCUAAGAAGAAUCCUCUUUAUGCUGUGGAAGAAGCUUUGGUCUGAGUUGAUAUGGGAGCCUCAGUAAAACUGGGCAUUAUGAGUUACUGAGGAUAAAAAUACAUUGGGUUAGUACUCUCAAACUAUUGCCCCCUUUAUAUAUAUAUCUAUAUACACACACAUAUAUAUACACACAUACAUACACAUAUAUUCAAUAUAUUUUAUAUUCAAUAUAUAUUGAAUAUUAUAUUCAAUAAUAUAAGUUGAUUGUUAUAUUCAACUAUAUAUAUAGUUGCCUUCAACUAUAUAUAUUUGUUAUAUUCAAUUAUAUAUAUCAACUAUAUGGUUGCCUUCAACUAUAUAUAUAUAUAUAGUUGAAUAUAACAAUCAACAAAGACAAAAUAUAGUAAUAGUUCUGGCCAAGAAAAUUUAUUUUUAUAGUUAAAAAAAGAUCCUUGGUUCCCCUGCUUACUGAAGUUAUGCAUACUUCUGGUAAAACAAGUGAACAAACAAUCUACAAUAUGUUUCUAAAUGUCCAACAAAGGGAAGAGAGCACCUCUGUUCUCCUGGUUUGGCCAAGGGCUACUGCUCAUAAAACAUCCUAGUUCACAAAAAGCUUGUUUAAAAAAACUUCCUUUAUAAGGUGCCAGCGUCUGUUCAGGGGCUAGCUAGGCAUUGUCCUUUCUAAGCCACUGGGAAUCUCUUCCUUUCGAGAGUCAGAAAGAAUAUUUUCUCUUGAGUUUGGAGACUAUAAGCUAGAAAAGAAGAAUGAGGCCCGGGGACCAGGUUGGAAGGUGGAAUGGAUAUGAGGAGUAGGAGAAGUCAUGGAUGCAAAGUGCAAUAGAAAAUUGUUUCUGGGGCCAAUCUAGAUUGAAUUUCCAACUGGGCUUCUGCCAUACCUUCCUUUAUGAGUACACAUGCACUCUGGUUUGUUUGGAUAUGUUCUACAGCAUUUGAUGAUGUUUAUAGAAUGAGAUGGGGAUACAAGCAUGGUGGUGUCCCUUCUCAGUUACAAAGUGCUGGAAGUAGGAUGCUCUGCUGAGCCCCAAUAGAAUACAAGUAUUUUCCUGAGUGCCAUAUGCUUUCUCUUCCAUUUUCCUAUAUGAUCUUCCAAACAGUCCCAUGUGGUGGGAAACCCCAUUUAAUAAAUGAGGAAAUGAAAGCCCAUGGCAGUUAAAAUGACACAAAGUAGAACUGGGACCACACUCAGGUCUCCUAAUCCUCAACCCAGGGCUCUUUUCUCUAUGCCAAGUUGCCCUACAAUGCCAGUGCAGAAGAGCCAACUGACUUUUCCUUCAAUCUCUUCCCAAGGCUGAGUUCCAUAUGAGAGCUGAGGUUUGCCAACCUGUUUUGCUCUGCUCAAAAGUGAUGGAAAUAGCAUAGAAAUCACAGUGUGCAAAUAUCCAAGUUGGCCUUUUUGAGUUGUUCCCCAUCCAGAAAGGCAAAGUAUUGAUCACAGAGGAACCUGAACAGGAGAACAAGAGAGUACAUGCUCCAUUUGGUGGGUUAGCAGAUUGUGAGUGCAAGAGUUAGGGAAAAGAGAAGAUAAAGAACAGAACAGCCAAUGACUGAAGACAGGAUUCCUGGGAUAUCGGUGUUCAAUGGACAACUUGAAGGUCAAACCCAGGCAGCUGUAAGUGAAUAAGUAGGUGACUUUGCAGUACCCCCGUCUGCAUUCCCAACUCAGAGAGGAAAAACUGUUCCUCUACCCUCUUAUGUCCAGUUUUGGGGGGCCUGCAAAUUAGACAGAUGAUAGAUUAGCAAGAAAAGACAGAUUUUAAUUAUGUAUAUAUGAAAGGGAGUUCACAAAGAAAUGUGACUCAAAAAGGCAGUUAGAAUUCGAGGUUUAAAUAUAUCUUAAUAGGUAAAGGAGAGUGAGUAAAAGAGUGCUUAUGGGAAAGCAAAUGACUUUUAGGAAAGCUAAAUGGAUGCUUAGCAGAAUAAAUGGGAGCUAUAAUACGUUUGUGACAAUGACUGUUGGUGUGGUGCCUACUUCUCAUUGUCUGAUUUCUCAUUGUCUCUGAUGAUAAAAGUCAUUCUUCCCUGGUUGAUUUAUGACAAUUGAGGUCUAUUCAAAAGUCCUGCUUUUAGGCAGUUAAGGGAUCUCAGGAACUCAAAUGCUUUCAGCUCAAAAUAUUUUUAUGCCACAGUGGCUUAUCCUAAACACCUUCACUACCUUCUACCUCGCACUGAACUCACAGUCUAUUUCCUCCAAGGAGGAAAUUUGCGCUUUUUAUAUUAUAUGUAUUAUUUGUAAUUAAAAGUCUUGAUAAACUUUAAAAAAAAAAAA
rnacentral:lncRNA from 1 species